AUAAAUUCCUACAACCUAGUGUUAAUGUAUCAAACCCCAUUAGAAAUUUGCAGUUAAGCACGCUUGCAAUAGAGUAGUACUGGGAUGGGUGAACACCCAUGAUGUCCUAGUAUUUUACU
rnacentral:rRNA from 1 species